CCUUUAUCAAGAGUGGCGGAGGGAUAGGCCCUGCGAUGCCCAGCAACCAGUUUCUUUUUUUGAAACCAAGGUGCUAAUUCCUACAGAUUUUUUAUCGGAUCUGACAGAUAAGGG
rnacentral:ncRNA from 2 species